rnacentral:rRNA from 1 species
GACGAACGCUGGCGGCGUGCUUAACACAUGCCAGUCGAACGGAAAGGCCCUGCUUUUGUGGGGUGCUCGAGUGGCGAACGGGUGAGUAACACGUGAGUAACCUGCCCUUGACUUUGGGAUAACUUCAGGAAACUGGGGCUAAUACCGGAUAGGAGCUCCUGCUGCUUGGUGGGGGUUGGAAAGUUUCGGUGGUUGGGGAUGGACUCGCGGCUUAUCGGCUUGUUGGUGGGGUAGUGGCUUACCAAGGCUUGGACGGGUAGCCGGCCUGAGAGGGUCAGCGGCCACGCUGCACCGGAGAUACGACCCAGACUCCAAUGCGAGGCAAGGGAGGAGAGUAUUACAUAAGGGGCGGAAGCCAGGUGCGAUCACGCAACGUGCGGGAUGACGGCAUUCGGGUUGUGAACCGAUUUCGCCUGUGCCGAAGUGUGAGUGACGGUAAUGGGUAAAGAAGCACCGGCUAACUACGUG